GACGAACGCUGGCGGCGUGCUUAACACAUGCAAGUCGAACGGUAAGGCCCUUCGGGGUACACGAGUGGCGAACGGGUGAGUAACACGUGGGUGAUCUGCCCUGCACUUCGGGAUAAGCCUGGGAAACUGGGUCUAAUACCGGAUAGGACCCUGGGAUGCAUGUCCCGGGGUGGAAAGCUUUUGCGGUGUGGGAUGGGCCCGCGGCCUAUCAGCUUGUUGGUGGGGUGAUGGCCUACCAAGGCGACGACGGGUAGCCGGCCUGAGAGGGUGACCGGCCACACUGGGACUGAGAUACGGCCCAGACUCCUACGGGAGGCAGCAGUGGGGAAUAUUGCACAAGGGGCGCAAGCCUGAUGCAGCGACGCCGCGUGAGGGAUGACGGCCUUCGGGUUGUAAACCUCUUUCAGCACCGACGAAGCGCAAGUGACGGUAGGUGCAGAAGAAGGACCGGCCAACUACGUGCCAGCCGCCGCAGUAA
rnacentral:rRNA from 1 species